rnacentral:rRNA from 1 species
AUUGAACGCUGGCGGCAGGCCUAACACAUGCAAGUCGAACGAGUGGCGGACGGGUGAGUAAUGUCUGGGAAACUGCCCGAUGGAGGGGGAUAACUACUGGAAACGGUAGCUAAUACCGCAUACCCUCGGAUGUGCCCAGAUGGGAUUAGCUAGUAGGGGGGGUAACGGCUCACCUCGGAGACGAUCCCUAGCUGGUCUGAGAGGAUGACCAGACACACGGGAACUGAGACACGGUCCAGACUCCUACGGGAGGCAGCAGUGGGGAAUAUUGCACAAUGGGCGCAAGCCUGAUGCAGCCAUGCCGCGUGUAUGAAGAAGGCCUUCGGGGUGUAAAGUACUUUCAGCGGGGAGGCGUUACUCGCAGAAGAAGCACCGGCUAACUCCGUGCCAGCCGCCGCGGUAAUUC